CCUCCUGAGGCUGACCAUUCCUAUAAUAAACUGUUUUACUUCUGCUCACUCAUUGCCUCACACUCGUAAAAGGCUAUUUUAUACUUUCGGCACAGCUAGGAACAUCUGCCUGUUGGGGCAGCAGAAACAGCUCCAUGUCUUGAAGAAGUCCCGCAUGCUCAGGACAACAGCAGUCACCCAAAAGAAGCUAAUCCUCAGGAGUCCCACCCUUUAGUUGUCUGCCGCCCCACAGAAACAGCUCUACCCAGUAGAGAUGAUCUAGCUGGUGCAGUUGGAGCUGCUCUUUCAAGGAUGUGCUCUUCCAGGACACCUCUAAACAGGGAGUCACACAGUUGCUAAAGAUUAUCAUGCAGCCAAGAUGCUGGUGUUGACAGAACACUGCAAGGUCUUCUCCCACUAAAUAUUGAAGAUAGCGCUUUGUAAACAAUUCCUGAUCUUAGCUUACUUGCUUGAAAACAAAAGCAAACAAACAAAUAAACAAAAACAACAACAAAAAAAAAAAAAAGGA
rnacentral:lncRNA from 1 species